UACGGAGGGUGCGAGCGUUGUCCGGAAUCACUGGGCGUAAAGGGCGCGUAGGCGGCCUGAUAAGUAGGGGGUGAAAUCCUGCGGCUUAACCGCAGGGCUGCCUUCUAAACUGUCAGGCUUGAGCACAGUAGAGGCAGGUGGAAUUCCCGGUGUAGCGGUGGAAUGCGUAGAUAUCGGGAGGAACACCUGUGGCGAAAGCGGCGCACUGGACCACAACUGACGCUGAGGCGCGAAAGCUAGGGGAGCAAACAGG
rnacentral:rRNA from 1 species